CUGCUGAUGAGGCAGAACAGCAGCUUGAGGCAAAGGCUGCAACCAUUGCAGAUUUGCACUCGAAGAUUUACCAGAACAUCCAAAUAGCACAACAGAGACAGAAAAUCUCUUUUGAAAAACGCAAGGGAAAGAAUGUGAAAUCUUUCCUGAUUAACGUUGGAGAUGAGGUCCUAAGAGCGAAUAAGAGGAAGGAGGGCC